CAGCAGCCACGGGAAUACGGAGGGUGCAAGCGUUAAUCGGAAUUACUGGGCGUAAAGCGCACGCAGGCGGUCUGACAAGUCAGAUGUGAAAUCCCCGGGCUUAACCUGGGAACUGCAUUUGAAACUGUCAGGCUGGAGUCUUGUAGAGGGGGGUAGAAUUCCAGGCGUAGCGGUGAAAUGCGUAGAGAUCUGGAGGAAUACCGGUGGCGAAGGCGGCCCCCUGGACAAAGACUGACGCUCAGGUGCGAAAGCGUGGGGAGCAAACAGGAUUAGAUACCCCAGUAGUCCCUGUCUCUUAUAC
rnacentral:rRNA from 1 species